rnacentral:lncRNA from 1 species
GGCGGGGUUGGCUCUAACGAAUUUGAAUGAGGAGCCUCAGCGCUUUCGGCGCCAUUUUCGAGUGAUGCCUGAUCUCAUCAAUCUAGCGGGAGAGACAGGAUAACCUGUCCGAGAGUAUAGCGCCACUAUGACUCCGCCGGAAAAAUUACUUUAAAAAUCGCCAAAAAUUACUUGGAGCAAAGGGCAGUCGGCGGAGCUUCGCCAAGGCUGGCGCAGUCGGUUUUGACCUGUAGCAGAGAACCAAUUCUGGAGAACAGCCUCACUUCUUUGAUUGAAUACUUACAUAAUGCAUUGGAACAUGACAUGAGAUUAAGGUUUAAUAAUGAUAGAAUGAAGACCACAAUAAAAGAGACCUCUACUUAGCUCAGCAAUUCUUACCUUUCUUACCUAUUUGAUGAAGAUGUCUUUUGAAAGGUGUACUGCAAGGAACAAAAUGUUUGUAAAUUCUCCUUUUACCAAGGUGGAUAAUUACUGUACCUUCCUCAUGGAAAAAGUUUUAUUUAAAGUGUUAUUUCUCAUUGAAUACUAUCAAAAAGGAAAAAAAAAUGACCUAAACUUUUGAGAUAGAUUUGGCUCUAGUAAGUAUUUAGUUAUAUCACUUGCAUAUCUGGGAGAAGAAAUAAGAGACUAUCAUCAGUACAUUCCCAUCUACUAAAAAAAUUUAUUUUACACAUGUCAAGGGAUUACUUAUAACUUCCAUUUUAUUACUAAUAGCUUGAACCCUUUUAAUGAAGACCUAACUCCUCCACCAGAAAUUUAAGUUUAUGUUCUUACUUUGUUUACUUAUAAAAUACAUCUCAGGUAUUUCGGAUGUCUUUUUUUUUUCUAAGCCUAUAUGAAAUGAAAAAUAUAUUGGCAAAAUAAAUGUUUAAACCUUUUACGUUAAAAUUACUUUGAAAGAUGAAAAGUUAGUGCUGUUUUUGUCUACGUUAUACUGAAAUUAAAUGUUUAUAAUUUAUAUUUUGGGUUUAUGUAUAAAUCAUGGAAUUUAUGCAAAAAUAUGAGUAGUACAGAUUCUCCUCUAAUUCUGUAGGACUUUGAAUAAUGUGAUAUUUUUCUUAUAAUUGGACCCUUGUGUUUUGAAGAAAUGCCAACUGCUUGAAGAAUCUCCUUGUUAUUUGUAUUAUUUGCUAUAGGGUUAGAUGUUGAGAAAUUCUGCUGACAAAAAAUUUUAAGCCAGUUUUACACUAAAUGUUCCUCAGUCUGAUUAAUUUGUUAUUGGAUGUAUUCUGUAUCUUUCUUUUGUAAUUUGUAACUUUUAUCCACUUAGCACGAAUGAUUCUAUUAAAGAAAAUCAUUAGGAAGUGGUAGAAACUUUAAAUCGCCCCAGAGUUUGCCUGUUUCCAUAUUUUAUUAUCUUAUAAUCUUCGGGAGUGCUUACACUUAUGGAGCUAACAUUUUCAGAGAUACAGCUUCUUAUAGUAACACUAAAACUUUCUUCCUCUUUGGACUGAAUACCUAUAAUUAUAACUAUAUGGUAGUUUAAGUUUCCUUGUGAUUAGUCAAAAAUACCAUUUUAGUAUGAAGCAAUGAAGUCUAUUAUUUGUUGUCCCAUAAUUGAGAAAGCUUAAAUACACCUUUUAUUAAGAGUUUGUAAAUUCUAGCUUAGUCUACACAGAUUUUUAUAUCAAUUUGUUUAUAUUUUUAUUAAUGUCAUUUCUGGAAGUGUGAAAAUGUUAAUGUUCAACAAGCAACAUUAAAAAUAGAUUUGAAACAUUUAUAUAUAGAGAGGUACACAUUUAUUUACUGUUUAGGUACUGAAGAUUAUCACUUAAUAAAAAAUAUAUAUCCCA